UACGUAGGGUGCGAGCGUUAAUCGGAAUUACUGGGCGUAAAGCGUGCGCAGGCGGUUCGUUAAGUCAGAUGUGAAAGCCCCGGGCUCAACCUGGGGAACUGCAUUUGAAACUGGCGGGCUUGAGUGUGGCAGAGGGGGGUGGAAGUUCCGCGUGUAGCAGUGAAAUGCGUAGAGAGUGCGGAGGAACACCAGGUGGCGAAAGCGACUUUCUGGUCCUUAACUGACGCUGAGGCGACGGAAGCAUAGGGGAGCGAACGG
rnacentral:rRNA from 1 species